AUCUUGGACAAAAAUAUCAAAAAAUUAAAAUUAGUAAAUAGUAAUGCCCUGCCUCCUCCUUUAAUAGAAAAUAAAGGACGAGAAACUCCCCAUUUUUAUUAGUUUACCUAAUAGUGAAGGAGGUUUUUUUGUGUGAAAUCCAAAUUAAAACACGUUAAUUCUGCAAAUGCUCAUCAAACACAAAUGGUCAUACUCAGUUUUCAUUCUAAAUAUUGAAUUCCCCCUCUCUUUUACAGGAAAAUGUACAUUGAGACUUGUCGCAGUACCAAAUGCUUGCCUCCUCUGAGAAUGUGCUUGAAACAAGAAUGUCCUGGAGAAAACAGACCGUCACAAGAGAAGAAGGAGGGCUUCCUGUAGAAAGAUCAUGGGGUGCAUUGAGGUUCCGGCCUUGAAUUUCUGCCCUUUACCUCAAAGCGAUGGCCUCUUGGAGGAGCAAAGCACAAUGGACUGGUGCCUGUACAUGUAAUGCAGAAGCUCAUGAUGAUAUGGUAGACAAGACAAGGACCUUGCUGUCUAAAGCUCAGAGGCCAGAUGAGAGUGUCUGAACCAGCUUGUCAGAAUUGGUUACAAAGAUGCAAGUGGACUUGUCUUCAGUAGUUAAAGAGGAGCAGUCAGCCGAAGGAGCACACAACUCCAAAACAAUGUGGAUACUGGAUACUUCUCUCCAGUUCAUCUCGAAUCAGACAUGGC